rnacentral:tRNA from 1 species
AAUAAGAUGACAGAAAGGUUAUGUACCCCGCUGUAAACGGGCAAAUAAGAGUUCAAUUCUCUUUCUUAUUA